CCGGAGUGGACGCAUCACUGGUGUUCGGGUUGUCAUGCCAAUGGCACUGCCCGGUAGCUAAAUGCGGAAGAGAUAAGUGCUGAAAGCAUCUAAGCACGAAACUUGCCCCGAGAUGAGUUCUCCCUGACCCUUUAAGGGUCCUGAAGGAACGUUGAAGACGACGACGUUGAUAGGCCGGGUGUGUAAGCGCAGCGAUGCGUUGAGCUAACCGGUACUAAUGAACCGUGAGG
rnacentral:rRNA from 1 species